UGUCUUCGCGCAACGGUUGAGUGCGCCGGAACUUCUCGGCAAGUUGCAAGGUUCGUUAGAAACAUGCAAGUGAGCUAGACGAGGAAAGGAAUACAGGAAGUGCAGAGUUACUCAAGAAUGCACGUCGAUUUGAAGCUAUGCUGACAUCAGGUGAAGAAAGGAGAUCGUCUGUAUGCAAUAACAUUCUUGAUUGAUCCGUACUUUAUGCAUGUUUCUGAAAUCUCUGCUCUGUAAUUCAAGAGCAUUAAUUACAUCUAUCUGUUUGUCUGGUUUCAAGUGCGCAAAUGAAAUAUCAUACUUGAGUUCAAGA